rnacentral:rRNA from 1 species
GACGGGGGGGCAAGUGUUCUUCGGAAUGACUGGGCGUAAAGGGCGCGUAGGCGGUGCCUCAAGUCAGGCGUGAAAGCCCCGGGCUCAACCUGGGAACCGCGCUUGAGACUGGAGUACUAGAGUUCGGGAGAGGAUGGUGGAAUUCCCAGUGUAGAGGUGAAAUUCGUAGAUAUUGGGAAGAACACUGAUGGCGAAGGCAGCCAUCUGGACCGACACUGACGCUGAGGCGCGAAAGCGUGGGGAGCAAACAGG